CUUUCAUGGUGAAUUACUCCGAUAAUUUUAGGUGGAAAAAGGAGAAGCCGAACGAUCGAUUCUUAUGCUAGAAAACCAAAAAUAAUCUGUCCAUUUUCCUCGCACGCGGCGAUAUAUACUGAUCGGCUGCGAGGCUUAGCAACAACACCAUUCAGUUUUCAUACAGAUAGUGUCGUCUGCUAAACCUGGUAUUAAUGGCGAGAAUGUGAGGUCCCCUUUCUUUCGUGGAUUAAUUUAAUAUUUUUCUAUCCUCCUUUACACAGUCAUCGACUUAAUUUACCAGUUAUAAAGUUGGUUUGUUGCGUUGUGUUUGAGGUGGCAUUUUCGUCGUUCCCUUUGGAGUAUUUUUGUGACCAAUAUCCGUAUAUAGUGAUUUUGCUUCGACAUUAUGUGGAUUGCUUAAUGCAAUCAUGAAAAAUGCAAAUUCUCGAAAACGAGUAUCUUUUGGGAGUAAAGGUUCUAUGGUAGAAACAUGGGUUAUAGAUGAUCAGAUUCCAACAGCUAAAUCGACGACAGAGAAUCAAUUCUAUCAUAAUAUAGUUGCUAAUAAACAAACACGCAAUGACAUAGUAAUUCCAAUGACUAUACACGUCAUCGAUAAGGAGGAAGCCCAUCGCGGUGGUUGGCCUUUACGCCGCUCCGCAAGUUUGGAAAGCCGAGAUAACCCAUUUCUACCAGGUUCACCAUUAGCCAAAGAAA